CCUACGGGAGGCAGCAGUGAGGAAUAUUGGUCAAUGGGCGUACGCCUGAACCAGCCAAGUCGCGUGAGGGAAGACUGCCCUAUGGGUUGUAAACCUCUUUUGUCAGGGAGCAACGCCGGCUACGUGUAGCCGGACUGAGAGUACCUGAAGAAAAAGCAUGGGCUAACUCCGUACCAGCAGCCGCGGUAAUACGGAGGAUGCGACCGUUAUCCGGAUUUAUUGGGUUUAAAGGGUGCGUAGGCGGACUGCCAAGUCAGUGGUAAAAUCGCGGGCCUAAACCUGGCUCCGCAGUUGAUACUGGCGAUCUUGAGUGGGCGAGAGGUAUGCGGAAUGCGUGGUGUAGCGGUGAAAUGCGUAGAGA
rnacentral:rRNA from 1 species